CCUCAAAGCCACCUUCCUCCUCUGACUCCUCUUCUUCAGACUCCUCUCUCUGCGUUGCCUCUCUCUGCGUUAUUAUAAGGUGUGUUAAGUAAUAUUAUUCCUAUCAGUUUAAUCCCUGUUACGUCCCCUAUCAGGGGACGUGUAUAUGGCAUCGAUUUUAGGAACCGGGAGAUGGAAAAAGAUGCUUGGUCGGUCCUCCUACUUCAAAUUUGGGGCACUGCGCGUGC